GUAGCUGUAGCUCAGUGGAAGAGCACUUGCCUAGAAUGCAUGAGGCCCUGAGUUUCAUCCUCAGCACCCAAA
rnacentral:tRNA from 1 species